AUGGGGCAGACCAAAUUCAAGGGCCAAUGUAUAGAAAUCUCUACUCUUAAUGAAGCAGUUGGUAGUCUCGCUUUCAGGUUUUUUUUCGUUCCGGUUUUUUUUCGUCCCAUCUCCCAACAUCAUGUUUCUUUGGUUUUUUUCGUAUGGUUUUUUCACCUCCCCACGAUCGGUCCGCUCACACACCGCCCACAGAAAAAUCCAUCGCCACCCACGACUCCCUCACCCUGACUAGGGUUCCUAGCCCUAUCCUCCGCCGCCGUUGCGUGUUCCCGUCUGACAUCGCCCGAGCGCUUUGUUGACCUCGCCGGGAGCAGCCAGCUGGAUCACGCCGCCAUGCCUCCCUCUCUCCCUUCUCUUCUUUUCCCCUACCUUCUCUCUCUCCUCUGAACUGCGCAUGCUCCUGUUAGAGGCCGGGGACACCUCGGCACACGCCGCCUACCGGGAGACGCCGGUGCUGGACAGGGAUAGCCAGGCAGCCGUGCACGUGCAAGGUCGGUUCCGCGGCACUGCCUCGUCCAGCCCAAGCCGCUCAUCCGCGUUGCCGUGUUCGCUCAAGCCGUUGCGUCCCGUGGAGGAGGGAGCAGGCACAUGAACGCGGGCGCCGCUGGAGAUGUUGAUGAAAAGAUGAGGAAUUUCAUUCCGUUGAUGCUUCAGCAAUCCUUUUAUCUCACCACGCCCACAUGCUCCGACGAAGCAAUUCUCAACGGCGGUGGCUGGUUGACUCGUCUCAGGUCACAGUGAUUAGUGCCAAUUAGCCUGAUCGUGCAGUGAUGCCAGCUGGAUCACGCCGCCGUGCCUCCCUCUCUCCCUUCUCUUCUUUUCCCCUACCUCUCUCUCUCCUCUGAACUGCUCCUCUCUGCAGGUGCCGCCAUGGCCGCGUCCUCGCCGCCGUGGGCUGCGCGCCCCUUCGAUGACAGCCUUCCUCGCCCACGUCCAGGUCCUCUCAAUCCUAAUUUGACGAAUGGGAGCGGAAGCUGCAAUGUCAAGAUCCGCAAGCAGGACAUGAACCACCUUGCCAUGAAUUUCCUCGUCACAUUAGGAUUCAUCGACGCCACCAACAGUUACUAUCAUUGGAAGUGCCAGACAGAUCUCGCCGUCAAGAGUAGCGCUGCAGGUUCAUUCACCUGGUUGGCCUCUUAUGUAACUGGUGUUGUUGUGUCCAUGUGGAAGGAGAGCCCGCUUCUCCGGGACGCCGGCGCUGACAUGCUCACCGUAGGCGACGUCAUGGCGGUGCUCGACUUCAGGGAGGAGGUCGGCAACCACCACUUCUUGGACCAAGAUUCUCGAGGAAAUAGCACAAGCUAAUUCAAAAUCAUCUCUUAGUUGAUCAAGCAUGUAAUCAUAAAGUGAAGGUAGAGAAGUUUGGAAUAGUAACCUCGUGGUUUCAUUACCCACGCAUUGGAGAUCCCAUGCAAACUAUUGUGAUUUGUGAGAAGUUUCAGAAAUUUGCAAUUUGUGAGCGGCGUAAAAAUGUCAUAAAUACAGUCACAAACCCAUCAGAUCUAUGCUAUGGAUGCCGUGGUGAUUGCUGGAACGGAGGGUUCCUGGGAUGAUGAGAAGAUGAAUCUAAAUGGUCUGACGGUCUGAGUACUCGUCGGCAUGACAAGGUGACUACAGAUCCACCAUAACAUGUGAGUGGCAAUGCUCCAGGACAAGCAGCCGGCGAUGGCAUACCUUCACAGAAUGGAGUACGGCGUAGGUGUUCAAGGGUUGUAUCAGGCCGCAUGGGAAGAACCUGAAGUUGCAAGUGGAUACAGUCAAGAACAUAGUUAAAGGUGAUAUGGGAGAUAAGUUCCAUAGGCAAGCUGGAUUGAGGCUUGAUGAGCCGAACCCAAGGGACGUGCUUAGUUUCUACCACAAAAUUCUAUCAUUCACAUCAACGGAUGUUGCAAAGAAGUGGUUCAAGCAUACUUAUCCAAAUCUUAUAAUCCUGAGGGAGAAGACUUUGUGAAGGAGUUCAGGCUGAAUGGCCAGUUAACAAGAAUCGGGUGGAUCUGCGUGUGGUGGAUGAUCGUUUACAAGGAAUGUUGAAUGUAUGGUUCCUGCAGAUGUUCAGGUGGCGCCACGUAUUCGACCUGCGAUUUGUGAAACAGUGAAGUCACUGCCAUCGCCAUGAGAGUGGAGCAGCAUCACUAUAAGAUGUGGCGGAUUGGUGGGUCCCGGGUCAAAAAGUGCCCAAGACUCGCGCAACCAAGUUUUCUGGAGGCCGAGCAACAUGACAUAGCCACGGACAAAAUGGAGGAAGGGAAGGGUGUGGAGGAGAGGGGA